AUGCAACGCACAUAUGAUUGCUGUUGGUCGGGCCUGCAGCCGGCCGUGGAGCCUGAGGUGCAGGCUAUUUUUGACUCGUCCAUCAAGGUGACGUUGGGGGAUGGUAGAAAGGCUCUUUUUUGGACGGAUUUUUGGCUCCACGGGCGUUCCAUUCAGUUUGAGGCCCCAGAGCUAUUCCUAGCGGUGAACAACGGUGUGCGGCGCACGCGAACGGUUCAUGAGGCCUUGGCAGACCGCGCUUGGAUCAGGGACAUCACAGGGGUGUUG
rnacentral:rRNA from 1 species